UUAUAUCACGUUGAAACACCGGUACUCGUACAAACACAGAAGUUAAGCAAUGUCGAGCCUGGUCAGUACGUAGAUGGGUGACAGCUUGUUAAUAAAAGGUGUUGUAAG